CGUGUAGGCGGUGCGGUAAGUUGGGCGUGAAAUCCCCGAGCUUAACUCGGGUGGGCCGUUCAAGACUGCCGUGCUAGGGUGCGGGAGAGGGAAGUGGAAUUUCCGGUGUAGCGGUGAGAUGCGUAGAUAUCGGGAGGAACACCUGCGGCGAAGGCGGCUUCCUGGACCGUAACCGACGCUGAGGCGCGAAAGCUAGGGGAGCAAACAGGAUUAGAUACCCUGGUAGUCCUAGCCCUAAACGAUGAGCACUGGGUGUGGCCCCUCACGAGGCCGUGCCGAAGCUAACGCAUUAAGUGCUCCGCCUGGGGAGUACGGUCGCAAGGCUGAA
rnacentral:rRNA from 1 species